AAGAAUUAAAAGAUUGCGUUUUUGGCUUUGUUUUUUAGUUACUGAUAAUUAAAAAUUAGCCGAAGUAUCCCUGUGCGCGAGCAAACCUCCUUACACGAAUGAAGGUAGGUUAGUGUAAGCAACGGGGUGCACAGGGAUCCUCAAAUCGAACGAUACAUGGGCGGCAACUUACCUCGUACAAGACGUAGAAGAGAAGAUUAUGACAUUCGGAAUAUUUGUUACUAUGUUUGUCUAAUUCGUUUCAGUGUUGGCUAAAAGAUAGAUGUAAGGAAACUUUACCUAUUAAAAACUGAAGAUGACUGAAAACUUGGAAAAGGAAGAUGACAGAAGAAGUUUGCUAUUUUAUCACUUUAAAGCUCUCCUUGAAUCAUGUUAUACCAGACAAAAAAUUAUCAAUCCACCCACUAACAAUGAAAUAAUCUAAGCUGAGCAUGUUUCGUGGUUCACCCUGUACAAACAUAAAUAUCAGUUGAAAAACAUCAGUACGAAUUUGACGAGUCCCAAUAUUAUUUAUUUAAGUUUAUAUUCUUUAUAUCGAUCUUUUCAUAUUUUUAGACCAGCAGAGAAUAUCCAGAAAGUUUAGCAUAUUCAUUUUCACUGGAAGAAUAUCCUACGUCGCACGAGAAAUGAGAAAAAACUUCCUCAUUUUAUGCUUAAAGCACAACGUUACCAUUAAAUGAAAAAUUCGGAAUUCUGUUUUCAUAAGUGUAAUAUUAAUAAUCAUAACGCAUAUUUUAAUUAAUCUGUGAGGAUAUGAUUUUUAUUCUUUUAUCGAAUUAUUUGAAAGUAUUUGUUUUUAACGACUUCGUUAUGUCCUACAGAAACAACUGUGUACAUACAAUGUGUAGUUUAAUCGGAACACCAAUGACGAUGACACUGAUGCAGAUAACAUUCCGAGAUCUAUACGUAGUUUCCAUUAAAACAAGUAUGUAACGUAUUUAUUCCUGUAUGACAGCCAUAGAAGGAAUUAUAAGAUUUUAAUAAUUUGUUCGUUUUAUUUCUACUGGUUCUGUUUCGCAGCUUUAUCGAGUAUUACUUAGAAUUUAUUGCUAAACUGACGAUACAACUCAUAAAUAUUCAAACAUUAGACAAUUUAUAGCAACGAUACUUACAUACACGAAUGUACAUCCUCGGUCAGGCUUUAAGCUAUGUUUGGUUAAAAUUGAUUUUUAUGGAGCUGAGCAGCGAAGAUGAAUGCGCGACAAGACGAGGAAAAAACAGGAAACACACAGGAAACUGAAUGCGCUGUGACAACUACAAGGGAUGAUACAUCAAGACUGUGUGUGAGGGAUAAGUAGCUUUUUAAAAUAGUUGUACAAAGGAGUCCGCGGCGAUCGUAUCGCCAUCGCACAAAGAGAGUCUUAUAUUCUCUGGUGUGGGUAUGUCAACAAGAGCUGGCGCGAACACACAAGCAUUUUAAAUGCGCUAAAACAGGUUAUAUUAUUUGGAGAAUUAUAUGGAGAAUUUGGAGGUUCUCUUACAGCCAUUAUCUUCAAAUGUGUGAAUUCACGCCAGUUUUCAUCGCGAUACCUUUAAUACGAGUACGUACAACCCUAAAAUGCCUUGUACUUUAUCAAUUUAGAUAUGUUAAAAGUUAAUAAACUUUUUUUGGGGAUAUGUUAGAUUCUUAAAUUGAAAAUGAGCGUGCAGCAACUGCGUAACACGAAGAUGAAUUUAUGUUGAUGUAUAGAAAGAAUGACAAGACAGGUAAUCACUUUGCUUACUUCUAAUUUACAAAUCAGAUGCAAAGACGCUUAACAAAGAUACUCGGGCUUGAUAAAUUCAACAAUAGGAAUUAUCGCAAACGUUCAUUGUGCAAGAUUAUGAAAACAACACAGACUAAUAUCACACUGGCCCAGUUAUACUAUUAGAAAUAGUGGUAACUCUGAUUUAUAGUCGGACACAACGAUACAGGGACUUGGGUCAAUGUAGCCUAUUACGGUUAACGCUUUGUAAAGUAAGUCGCGCUCCGGGAAUGCGGCCAAAAUAAUGAUUGUCGUUUAAUAAACUUAUUAAGUCGAAAUGACGUGAUCUGUAUCGACAAUAGUAUCGUAACUGCAACCGAUAAAAACUAGAAGAUCACGAAGUAUGUCAAUCAACUGUUCGUGUAGUCGUAUUUUUAGCGAAAUAAUGAAUGAAAUAGCUUCUUCUAUCUAAUGUAUUCAAUCGUGACCUAGGUUAAAGAUUGAAAAUUAUACAUUACAUUUUACAUAACCUCUUAAUUAGUGUUCCUGGAUACAUGGCAAAUCCAUGAAAUGUUUAAACACAUGAUAUUAGUCACGAUUAUAAUACGAUUUCCUUUUUUUAACUAACAUAGAAGCAUACUUAGGUAAAGUAUAUGGAAGUACUGCAAAUAAUCUUUCUUUUUUAUUUCUAAAUAAAUAUUCUAUUCGUUAAAUUAUACAUCUAUAUAACAGAAUUUCCAUGUAGGUAUUUUUGCUCAAUUUAUUACCGUUAAAAGUAGAACCGUAGAACCGUUUAAAAUAAAAGUUACAUUAAAAAUAGUUUAAUGGCAAGGAGAAUGCCGAUAGACUAUGAGAAGAUAAUCGAUUAAUUUUUGGAUAGAAAUGAAACAAAUUAAAUUUAUGGGUAUUUAUAACGUCUUAUAUCCUACGAUUACGCUACUAUUCAUGCUUAUUAGAUUAUAAUGAUGAAAUAAUAUAUCAUUAUUUUUCAAGGAAUGUAUUCAGAGAUCUAUAUAAUCAGUAUAUACAUAUAUUAAAACAAAUGUUUAAAAAAAGUUUUUAAAUAAAAUAUCAUCUUGACGUUA